AGUGAACGCUGGCGGUAGGCCUAACACAUGCAAGUCGAACGGCAGCACAGUAAGAGCUUGCUCUUACGGGUGGCGAGUGGCGGACGGGUGAGGAAUACAUCGGAAUCUACUUUUUCGUGGGGGAUAACGUAGGGAAACUUACGCUAAUACCGCAUACGACCUACGGGUGAAAGCAGGGGAUCUUCGGACCUUGCGCGAUUGAAUGAGCCGAUGUCGGAUUAGCUAGUUGGCGGGGUAAAGGCCCACCAAGGCGACGAUCCGUAGCUGGUCUGAGAGGAUGAUCAGCCAAACUGGAACUGAGACACGGUCCAGACUCCUACGGGAGGCAGCAGUGGGGAAUAUUGGACAAUGGGCGCAAGCCUGGUCCAGCCAUACCGCGUGGGUGAAGAAGGCCUUCGGGUUGUAAAGCCCUUUUGUUGGGAAAGAAAAGCAGCAGGUUAAUACCCCGCUGUUCUGACGGUACCCAAAGAAUAAGCACCGGCUAACUUCGUGC
rnacentral:rRNA from 1 species